rnacentral:tRNA from 1 species
UGGGGCGUCGCCAAGCGGUAAGGCACCGGAUUCUGAUUCCGGCAUUCACAGGUUCGAUCCCUGUCGCCCCUGCCA